GCAGCAUAAAUGGUACGCUGCCACUUUAAGAUCAAUUUCGGCUGCUGCAUAUAAGCAGGUGUCUACCUGCCACAAGACUACUUGCGUCAUGACGUCAACUCAUUCUGCUUAGUUUGUUUGCUGAGCUGAACUGUGCUGGCCUCCCUUGCUGUGCCUCCAACUCCUGGACCAAUUUGUUUGGUUGUUUGCUGCCGGGAAGGUAAGCGCUAGCAUGGCUAGGUAACAUCCGUCUCAUGUAAACGAAGCCUUUAUGUAGUGUUCUGUUACAGCUGCGCUCCAUAGGUGACCUUGUGGAUCUGUUAAUCUGGCCGUGUGGUAAUUUACAGGUAAGCAGCUACCAUAAGUCAUAGUUUUUAUCAGCAGUGGUAUUAAUAAUCUACUUUAUUUUUUAGCCCCCUGCCGAGUCCCUGACGACUAUUAAAUUUGGAUGUACACUCGCUGCUGUUUUGCCUACGAUGAAUUGUUUUAAAAGAUUUGUAUGAACUUUCCCCUGCUGCCGGGAGCAUUGAUGGCACUACGAUCGGGAUAAAAAGCAAUAUUGUAGUGCCAUUGUAUCACUGUUUUACUCAUAUUGUUUCAUUUUUUGUCUUUCUUUUAGGGACUGAGGCUUCUGUGGUGGCGGUGGUGACCCCUGGUGGCGGUGUCUUGUCUUGUGUGUUUUGUUGGAACACCCCUUUUUUUUGUGUGUGUGUUUGCCGUGUCUUUGUAGUGUCCAGGGUGAUCCCUUUUCUUCACUGGAUGUUGCCCCUUUCCUCACUACACUGGUAAGCCUCAGUUUCCUUUGAAAUUUAAACAUUUUAUAAUCAACUUUAUUAAAAAGGCAUUCACUGUUUUAACUAUUCAAUUUCAGGUUAUUGUUAAUUUAAACAACCUAUUAAAGUUUAAUAAAUUUUUUG